AUUGAACGCUGCGGCAGGCUUAACACAUGCAAGUCGAGCGAGCGGCGGACGGGUGAGUAAUGCUUAGGAAUCUGCCUCUUAGUGGGGGACAACAUCUCGAAAGGAUUGCUAAUACCGCAUAAUAAUAGAUGAGCCUAGUCGGAUUAGCUAUUGGGUGGGGUAAAGGCCUACCAAGGCGACGAUCUGUAGCGGGUCUGAGAGGAUGAUCCGCCACAGUGGGAAUGUGACACGGCCCAGACUCCUACGGAAGGCAGCAGUGGGGAAUAUGGACAAUGGGGGGAACCCUGAUCCAGCCAUGCCGCGUGUAUGAAGAAGGCCCUAGGGUUGUAAAGUACUUUCAGUCGGGAGGCGUUACCGACAGAAGAAGCACCGGCUAACUCCGUGCCAGCAGCCGCGGUAAUAC
rnacentral:rRNA from 1 species